rnacentral:lncRNA from 1 species
CUUCCCCUCUGUGAGGGACACAAGCCUGUGGCCCAUGAGAGUCACCGACCCAAUCAGUGGAGGUGAGCUGCGGUGAGCAAGAUAUGAAGCUUGAUAUUGAAAAAUGUGUGCAUCAAAGAACAGUUUUCAAUUGUUAUCUUUCUAAGGUUCUAAGCAGACAGAUAUUUUCCAGCAUGAUUGUCUUACAAACACAGGCUUGGCAGGACGAAGUAUUGGC